UCCGUAGGUGAACCUGCGGAAGGAUCAUUAUCGAAUAAACUAGGUGGGUUGUUGCUGUCCCUCUCGGGGGAAUCGUGCACGCCCUACCUUCUUUGUUUUUCCACCUGUGCACACACUGUAGGUCUGGAGUGGAAGGGAGGCAACUCCCUAACGUUUCAGGUCCUAUGUCUUUACACAUACACUAUUAAAAGUAACAGAACGAUUCAAUGGGCUCUAAGCCUAUAAACUAUAUACAACUUUCAGCAACGGAUCUCUUGGCUCUCGCAUCGAUGAAGAACGCAGCGAAAUGCGAUAAGUAAUGUGAAUUGCAGAAUUCAGUGAAUCAUCGAAUCUUUGAACGCACCUUGCGCUCGUUGGUAUUCCGACGAGCAUGCCUGUUUGAGUGUCAUUAAAUUCUCAACCUCAUCGCUUUUGUGAUGAUGGCUUGGAUGUGGAGGUUUUCUGCAGGCCGAAAGGUCUGCUCCUCCCAAAUGAAUUAGUGGGUGCCCCGCGCAAACCUAUCUAUUGGUGUGAUAAUUAUCUACGCCGUGGAUCUUAGGAUUGCUGUAAAAAGGUGUUUGCCCUGCUUCUAACCGUCUUCGGACAACUUGAACCAUUUGACCUCAAAUCAGGUAGGACUACCCGCUGAACUUAAGCAUAUCAAUAAGCGGAGGA
rnacentral:rRNA from 1 species